rnacentral:rRNA from 1 species
CUGGCCCGGUGAGCGUCGCCUUGUGUGGCGUUUCAUUCGCGUGCUAGAUCUUUGACCUUCCAUCCUUUCCAGGGAGCCUUGUGUGCCGUUUACUCGGUGCGCUUGUUUUGCGAUCUGGAUCAUUUACUUUGAAAAAAUUAGAGUGUUUCAAGCAGGCUUUAUGCUAUGAAUACAUUAGCAUGGAAUAAUAAUUUAGGACUUCGGUUCUAUUUUGUUGGUUUCUAGGACUGAAGUAAUGAUUGAUAGGGAUAGUUGGGGGUGCUAGUAUUCAGCGGCCAGAGGUGAAAUUCUCGGAUUCGCUGAAGACUAACUUAUGCGAAAGCAUU